rnacentral:rRNA from 1 species
GAUGAACGCUGGCGGCGUGCCUAAUACAUGCAAGUCGAGCGAACGGACGAGAAGCUUGCUUCUCUGAUGUUAGCGGCGGACGGGUGAGUAACACGUGGAUAACCUACCUAUAAGACUGGGAUAACUUCGGGAAACCGGAGCUAAUACCGGAUAAUAUAUUGAACCGCAUGGUUCAAUAGUGAAAGACGGUUUUGCUGUCACUUAUAGAUGGAUCCGCGCCGCAUUAGCUAGUUGGUAAGGUAACGGCUUACCAAGGCAACGAUGCGUAGCCGACCUGAGAGGGUGAUCGGCCACACUGGAACUGAGACACGGUCCAGACUCCUACGGGAGGCAGCAGUAGGGAAUCUUCCGCAAUGGGCGAAAGCCUGACGGAGCAACGCCGCGUGAGUGAUGAAGGUCUUCGGAUCGUAAAACUCUGUUAUUAGGGAAGAACAAAUGUGUAAGUAACUAUGCACGUCUUGACGGUACCUGAUCAGAAAGCCACGGCUAACUACGUG